GGGAGGGAGAGGGAAAGAGAGCAAGAGAGCAAGAGAGAGGGAGAGAGAGAGAGCAGGGCAGGAGAGAGGAGAGAGGGCCAUCUAAGGUUUGACUGGUGCAGUGAGAGUCCAUCACCAGAAGAGGGAGCCCCUCUCCAAUCUUUCAGCCAGGAGAGGACGUCUCUCGCACCCAGCUGCUCUGUGUGAGAUCCUUUCCAAAUCAAUGGCGGCAACAUUAUAGUCCACUCAUCAAAAAAAGAGAGGGCAAACACAAACCCAGUGCAAACUUUUUACACACCUGAUCAUGUGGCCUGUGCUGCUAUCGGCUGGAGGAUGGGCAACAGUGUUCCAUUCCUUCUUCUGACCUACAGAGAGGAGAUAUAAAACGGUAACUCCUCCACAUGUGAAAAGGACAAGGAAACAAAUCAAACACGUACACAAGUCCUCUCAAUAUUUACAGUAGGUUACAGUAGGACUCUCCCUUCCUCUGAAAACUCACACCUUAAACACAAACAUAUAUACUCAUGUGAAUACACACACAAUUGCAAACAUAUAAGUGAAUCAUAAAGUCACACACACACACACACACACACCUACACCCGCCCACCCACCCACCCACGCACCGCCCCCACACACACACACAAACACACACACACACUUGCAAACAUAUACGUGAAUCACAUAAGUACACAUACACACACACACACACACACACACACACACACACACACACCCACCAACAAACACACCCACACACACACACCCACCCACCCCGCUCCUCCGGCCCGUGUCCCAGAAGCAUGCUGACGGUGGCGCUGCUGGGCGCGGUGCUGGCGCUGCUGGUGGUGCUGACGGUGUGCGGCAACGUGCUGGUGUGCCUGGCCGUGUGCACCACGCGCCGCCUGCGCUGCGUCACCAACUGCUUCAUCGUGUCGCUGGCCGUCACCGACCUGCUGCUGGGCGCGCUGGUGCUGCCCUUCUCCGCGCUGCUGGAGGUGCGGGCGGGCGCCUGGCCGCUGGGCGCCGCCUUCUGCAACGUCUACGUCUCGCUGGACGUCAUGCUGAGCACGGCGUCCAUCCUCAACCUGCUGGCCAUCAGCAUGGACCGCUACCUGGCCGUGACGGCGCCGCUGCGCUACGCCGCGCUGCUGAGGCCGGCGCGCGUCGGCACGGCGCUGGCCCUCAUCUGGCUGGUGUCCGUCUGCCUGUCGUUCGUGCCCAUCCACAUGGGCUGGAACACGCGGGACGGCAGGGUCCAGAACGUGGGCGCGGGGGUGGACGGCGAGGAGGGCGAGGGCAACGACAGCGUCGACGGCGGCGUGUGCAAGUUCGACCUGAACCCCACCUACGCCGUGGUGGACGCGCUGUGCACCUUCUACCUGCCGCUGCUGGCCAUGUGCUGGAGCUACUGCUGCGUGUUCCGUAUCGCCAGGGCGCAGGCGCGCCGGAUCGUGGCCACGCGGCGCGCGGGGGGCUGCGGCAGUACCCCGGCCGGCCACUGGGGGGUGCUGGCGGUGGCCGUGCGCGAGAACAAGGCCACGGUGACGCUGGCGGCGGUGGUGGGCGCCUUCAUCGUCUGCUGGACGCCGUACUUCACCUACUUCACCGUCAUGGGCCUGCUGCGGAGCGACAUGCGCGGCACCGCCUACUCGGUGGUGCUGUGGCUCGGCUACACCAACUCGGCGCUCAACCCCUUCCUGUACGCCGCGCUCAACCGGGACUUCCGCUCGGCCUACGGGCGGCUCCUGCACUGCCCGAGGCUCAAGCCCCUGCCGAUGGACUCCAACGGGGCGGCGGCAGGGGAGGGGAGAAGCUGGGAGGACGGGCCAGUGACUGGACUCAAGCAGUGCUUCAGCAGGGCAGGGUCCGUGCCCAGGGCUAUGGUCAUGAUGCAGGAUUUAAAUGGGAGUAACAGGCCCCCCCUGGGUAAUGGUAAACCCCUGAUGAUGGACACAGAGAUCACUGACUGCAAUAACACAUUAAGACACCCAUAAGCUCACGGUGACCUAUUUCCUGCCGACCCCAGCUUGACGCCCGGCCGCUGGACCCGAUCCACACCUCCACCCGGCCCCCCGGCGGGAGACGCCAAGCAGGACAAGUGUUUGAGAUGGCUGGCAGACCCUCCACAGGUGCAAAGAGGUUGAGGACCACAACGUUGUGUCCGGCCAGCUGCUCAACCAAUCACUGGCGGUGUCGCACAGGGACAGCAGAGGACAUGCUGCAGAGUGGGGUCAAGGAAAUGUUCAAGCCAUAAAGCAGCAAUCGGCAGCAACUAAGCUUUCCCCUCCAAUGACAUUCCUACUCUACUGUUAUCACUUGAACUCAAACCAGCCGUGUCGUACAACCCCUUGAAUUCUUUCUUCCUCGAGUGGCUCUUGACUCGGACGCUGUGAUAAUGAACCGUUGCCUCAUUCAGGCAAGGUGGGUUGAAUUUGACCGUGCGCGCCAUCUGCCCCCUACUGGUCAAAAUCUUUUUUAUUAUUUUGUUUUUUAAUUGUGAGAAGAAAGAGGAAACAAAAUGGCAGCUUGCUUGCAGCAUAUUUGAGGGGUGCACAAGGACAGUAUUAAAUAUAAUUUCUAUAAAACAAAAAUGAGCAACAGUGACUAUUUCAGUGUUUUUCUGUUUUCACACACCCUUACAAUUUCCACACACCCUAAACCUCAUCUUUUCCUGAAGUUCUCUUUUUCUUUGCGAUUGCACUGUGGUGCAAUAUGCCACCGCGCUGUGUUGCAAUCUCUUUCCUCUCUGUCAUCUCCAACCAUUCAACACAUUUCUCAGGCCUUCUGCUCUCCUCUCUUUCUCUUUCCCUCGCUCUUUGUCAGCUGGGCACACUGACCCUCGGUACAUUAAAACCAUUCAUCACUGCCUCUUUACCGUCAAAUUAUCAGCCACUAGCCACUGAAUACACACAAGUAAAUGCUCUCAAACAGCGACACACUCACUCUGUCCCCAGCUCCCCCUGUGACUCGCUUUUUGUCUGCGUCUGCCACACACACACACACACACACACACACACA